GGCUGAGCUGUGAUGGCGAGCGAAAUAUAGUAGCGAAGUUCCUGAUUCCACACUGCCAAGAAAAGCCUCUAGCGAGGUGAGAGGUGCCCGUACCGCAAACCGACACAGGUAGGCGAGGAGAGAAUCCUAAGGUGAUCGAGAGAACUCUCGUUAAGGAACUCGGCAAAAUGACCCCGUAACUUCGGGAGAAGGGGUGCUCUGUUAGGGUGCAAGCCCGAGAGAGCCGCAGUGAAUAGGCCCAGGCGACUGUUUAGCAAAAACACAGGUCUCUGCGAAGCCGUAAGGCGAAGUAUAGGGGCUGACGCCUGCCCGGUGCUGGAAGGUUAAGAGGAGCGCUUAGCGUAAGCGAAGGUGCGAAUUGAAGCCCCAGUAAACGGCGGCCGUAACGAUAACGGUCCUAAGGUAGCGAAAUUCCUUGUCGGGUAAGUUCCGACCCGUACGAAAGGCGCAACGAUCUGGGCACUGUCUCAACGAGAGACUCGGUGAAAUUAUAGUACCUGUGAAGAUGCAGGUUACMCGCGACAGGACGGARAGACCCCGUGGAGCUUUACUGCAGCCUGAUAUUGAAUGUUGGUACAGCUUGUACAGGAUAGGUAGGAGCCUUGGAAACCGGAGCGCCAGCUUCGGUGGAGGCAUCGGUGGGAUACUACCCUGGCUGUAUUGACCUUCUAACCCGCCGCCCUUAUCGGGCGGGGAGACAGUGUCAGGUGGGCAGUUUGACUGGGGCGGUCGCCUCCUAAAAGGUAACGGAGGCGCCCAAAGGUUCCCUCAGAAUGGUUGGAAAUCAUUCGCAGAGUGUAAAGGCACAAGGGAGCUUGACUGCGAGACCUACAAGUCGAGCAGGGACGAAAGUCGGGCUUAGUGAUCCGGUGGUUCCGCAUGGAAGGGCCAUCGYUCAACGGAUAAAAGCUACCCCGGGGAUAACAGGCUUAUCUCCCCCAAGAGUCCACAUCGACGGGGAGGUUUGGCACCUCGAUGUCGGCUCAUCGCAUCCUGGGGCUGUAGUCGGUCCCAAGGGUYGGGCUGUUCGCCCAUUAAAGCGGUACGCGAGCUGGGUUCAGAACGUCGUGAGACAGUUCGGUCCCUAUCCGUCGCGGGCGCAGGAAAUUUGAGRGGAGCURUCCUUAGUACGAGAGGACCGGGAUGGACGCACCGCUGGUGUACCAGUUGUUCUGCCAAGGGCAUCGCUGGGUAGCUAUGUGCGGACGGGAUAAGUGCUGAAAGCAUCUAAGCAUGAAGCCCCCCUCAAGAUGAGAUUUCCCAUUCCGCAAGGAAGUAAGAUCCCUGAAAGAUGAUCAGGUUGAUAGGUCUGAGGUGGAAGUGUGGCGACACAUGGAGCUGACAGAUACUAAUCGAUCGAGG
rnacentral:rRNA from 1 species